CAGUAGCCGCGGGAAUACAGAGGGUGCGAGCGUUAAUCGGAUUUACUGGGCGUAAAGCGUGCGUAGGCGGCUUUUUAAGUCGGAUGUGAAAUCCCUGAGCUUAACUUAGGAAUUGCAUUCGAUACUGGGAAGCUAGAGUAUGGGAGAGGAUGGUAGAAUUCCAGGUGUAGCGGUGAAAUGCGUAGAGAUCUGGAGGAAUACCGAUGGCGAAGGCAGCCAUCUGGCCUAAUACUGACGCUGAGGUACGAAAGCAUGGGGAGCAAACAGGAUUAGAUAUCCCUGUAGUCCCUGUCUCUUAUAC
rnacentral:rRNA from 1 species